rnacentral:rRNA from 1 species
UACGGGGGGGGCAAGCGUUGUUCGGAUUUACUGGGCGUAAAGGGCGCGUAGGCGGCCAGCACAAGUCAGUUGUGAAAUCUCCGAGCUUAACUCGGAAAGGUCAACUGAUACUGUGCGGCUAGAGUGCGGAAGGGGCAACUGGAAUUCUUGGUGUAGCGGUGAAAUGCGUAGAUAUCAAGAGGAACACCUGCGGCGAAGGCGGGUUGCUGGGCCGACACUGACGCUGAUGCGCGAAAGCUAGGGGAGCGAACGGG